rnacentral:rRNA from 1 species
UGAGGAAUAUGGUCAAUGGGCGGGAGCCUGAACCAGCCAAGCCGCGUGAGGGAAUAAGGCCCUACGGGUCGUAAACCUCUUUGUCGGGGAACAAAACCGG